rnacentral:rRNA from 1 species
CCCUUAGAUGUUCUGGGCCGCACGCGUGCUACACUGACCGGCGCAACAAGCUUUUUUCCUUGGCUCGACAGGCCUGGGUAAUCUUCGAACGCCGGUCGUGAUGGGGAUAGAUCCUUGCAAUUUUUGAUCUUCAACGAGGAAUUCCUAGUAAAUGCGAGUCAUCAUCUCGCGUUGAUUACGUCCCUGCCCUUUGUACACACCGCCCGCCGCACCUACCGAUUGAAUGGUCCGGUGAAGCCUCCGGAUUGGCGCGCACCUCGGUGCCGCCGAGAAGUUGGCUAAACCUUACCAUUUAGAGGAAGGUGAANUCGUAGCA